UACGUAGGGGGCAAGCGUUGUCCGGAUUCAUUGGGCGUAAAGAGCGUGUAGGCGGCCAGGUAGGUCGGUUGUGAAAACUGGAGGCUCAACCUUCAGAGGUCGACCGAAACCAUCUGGCUAGAGUCCGGGAGAGGAGAGUGGAAUUCCUGGUGUAGCGGUGGAAUGCGCAGAUAUCAGGAAGAACACCAAUGGCGAAGGCAGCUCUCUGGGACGGUACUGACACUGAGACGCGAAAGCGUGGGGAGCGAACAGG
rnacentral:rRNA from 1 species